rnacentral:rRNA from 1 species
GACGAACGCUGGCGGCGUGCCUAAUACAUGCAAGUCGAGCGGGCCUCCGGAGGUGCUUGCACCUCCGGAAGGCCAGCGGCGGACGGGUGAGUAACACGUGGGCAACCUGCCUUUGAGGCCGGGAUAACACCGGGAAGCCGGUGCUAAUACCGGAUACGUCCUCUUUCGCGCCUGCGAGAGGGGAGAAAGACGGUCUUUAAGGCCGUCGCUCAAAGAGGGGCCCGCGGCGCAUUAGCUGGUUGGGGGGGUAAGGGCCUACCAAGGCGACGAUGCGUUGCCGACCUGAGAGGGUGAUCGGCCACACUGGGACUGAGACACGGCCCAGACUCCUGCGGGAGGCAGCAGUAGGGAAUCAUCCGCAAUGGGCGAAAGCCUGACGGUGCAACGCCGCGUGAGUGAGGAAGGUUUUCGGAUCGUAAAGCUCUGUUGUGAGGGGAGAACAGCUUCCGGAGGAAAUGCCGGAGGUUUGCCGGUACCUCACCAGAAAGCCCCGGCUAACUACGUGCCAGCCGCCGCCGUAAAAC